UACAGAGGGGGCAAGCGUUGUUCGGAAUUACUGGGCGUAAAGGGCGCGUAGGCGGCCUUCUAAGUCGAACGUGAAAUCCCCGGGCUCAACCCGGGAACUGCGUCCGAUACUGGAAGGCUUGAAUUCGGGAGAGGGAUGCGGAAUUCCAGGUGUAGCUGUGAAAUGCGUAGAUAUCUGGAGGAACACCGGUGGCGAAGGCGGCAUCCUGGACCGGCAUUGACGCUGAGGCGCGAAAGCCAGGGGAGCAAACGGG
rnacentral:rRNA from 1 species